UACGGGGGGAGCAAGCGUUGUUCGGAUUUACUGGGCGUAAAGGGCGCGUAGGCGGCGCAACAAGUCACUUGUGAAAUCUCCGGGCUUAACCCGGAGCGGUCAAGUGAUACUGUCGUGCUAGAGUGCAGAAGGGGCAACUGGAAUUCUCGGUGUAGCGGUGAAAUGCGUAGAUAUCGAGAGGAACACCUGCGGCGAAGGCGGCGCUCUGGGCCGGUACUGACGCUGAGGAGCGAAAGCGUGGGUAGCAAACAGG
rnacentral:rRNA from 1 species